AUGCAAAAUGAGGCAGAACUUAGCUUGUCACAUAGGUGUAUUCUUCCUGGAACCGAUGCGGGGUCAGAAAACUGAUGGCUUUUAAGCAAGCUGGACGGGUCCUCUCAGCGCAUUCCCCCACCCGCCUGGCGCCAAUGGAGCUGGCCUGGCCCGCCCAGCCCCUCCCCGCCCCGUCCGCGCUCGGACCGGACUUUCAGGACUGCAGGGGAAAGGGUGGACACCCAGCCUCCCGCCAGGUCAGAGCAGAGGCUAAAAAUGGCCCAGGGGAGACUGCUGGAGUUGCAUGGAGUUCGGGAGCCUAGGAGGGGUCUGAAAAUAACUGUCAAAAAGUUUGAAGGGAGGAUACAAAAAUACAUCAGUUUGCAAACCAGAAGAAGGUCCUCACCAGAAACCAACUAUGCUGGCACCCUGAUCUUGGACUUCUAGCCUCCAGAACUGUGAGAAAUAAAUGUGUGUUUAUAAACCAGUCAGUCAGUCUAUGGUGCUUUAUUAUAGCAUCUGGAACGAGCUAAGACAGCUGCUAAGUAGCAUUCCAUUUGACAAGGAAGACUUACCAUUCACACUACUUCUGAGUUCAAUGAAAGAGAGGCUCGCAAUAGAAAACUUAUACAGUACUUUCUAUGGUCAGUUGUGAUCAUAAAAAGAGAGUAAGAAGAAAAACAACUCUGAAAGACAAGAUUUGGUUUCUCUCUUUCAUUGUACACAUAAAAUAAGACUUGACCAUCUGGAAAAAGGAAGCCUGAGAAUGAAUAUAUAAGAAGAGGACAUAAAAUGGUGGAAAGAGAAAGCAUGGUUUUAGCAGCCAAAUUCUGAAAUAAGGCUAAACCUACAUGGAGGCAUUUCUUCAGCUUGAAGGAAGGAAUUUAACCCAAAGACAUUGGAAAAUGACUUGACAGAGUCACACAGGAAAUUGUUGUAGGAAUUAGAACUAGAAAUCUGGUCUCCUGAUGAUCAUUUCUAGGAAUGGCUACUAAAAAAUCAAAGAAAAAGAUUUCAAUAGAACUAGAAAUCUGGUCUCCUGAUGAUCAUUUCUAGGAAUGGCUACUAAAAAAUCAAAGAAAAAGAUUUCAAUCAUCUUAAAGCAAACAGUCUCAUACUGGAGUGGUGAGGAUGGUAAAUUUUAAAGAAAACAGGCCCUCUUUGAUGUAACACUGGUUAACCCAUUAAGCCACAGUCUCUACUAUUACAGCUUUUGGAUGUGACCAAAUCUCUCCAAAUUGAAGUAACAAGCAAGGCCAAAGCAGCCACACUCUUUUUGGGUGGAUUUGUCUCCCCUACACACCAUUCUUUCCCAUAUACUAGAUGUUUAGUAACUUUUGUCUCAGAUAGACUGAAGACACUAAAAGCUGCUAUUGUUCAUUAAAAAGCAAGGCCAAAGACAUGCUGGGCUAAUAUGGUACACUAAAGUUGGUAAUUUGAUUGGUUUGGACUGAUUGCCUACAACUGUCUGAUUAAAUGUUAAAAUACAAAAAUUACAGGAUAUCAUUAUAUCUGGGGGAAAUAAUGUAAUGCCUGCACAACCCAAGCCAUAUCCUAUUACUCUUCCCUAUGAAGGGCCUGGAUGUCAUUCAAUUUUUCCAAAGUAAAGCAAGGUGCAAGGUCAAAAUAGACCCACAAUGUAAUCUGUCCUCUCUCAGAAUGUAAUAACGUUACUUUCUUACUGGCUUUGUUAGUUACAGGCUAACGUCAACCACAGUCUUAACAACCUGACGGAACAGGUUCAGAGACCUGGGAGCCUGAAGGGAAAAUGAAAAUAACAAAAACAAAAAACAAGAAAGGUGCUGGCUGAACAAUGGCUAAAAUGAAAAUAGCACACAAAGUUAAAAAUUGAAAAACCUAAGAGAGAGAGAGAUAGUAUAUGUGUACGUAUAUGUACGUAUAUGUAUAUUUACUUCCCCUAGGUUAGGAUAUAGAAGGUCCUCAAGCCUGCUUUUAUUUAACUUUGCUGAAAGUUUUUCAGUAGUUUUCCAUCUUUAUGUUCAGACCACAUAAGAAAAUGUCCAAAUAAACCAUCAGAAAGAUUUACAUGUUUUAUAACAAGGAGCCACUUAACUAAACAGACCCAGAAAUUCUCAAUGCCAUUUAGGUAGAUUUCAUCUAUUCACUUGCAUAAAACAUCUGGUGCUCACCA
rnacentral:lncRNA from 1 species